rnacentral:rRNA from 1 species
CGGGUGCACUGAUCCAGCCGGGCCUUUCCCUCUGUGGAACCCCAUGGCCUUCACUGGCUGUGGUGGGGAAACAGGACUUUUACUUUGAAAAAAUUAGAGUGCUCCAGGCAGGCCUAUGCUCGAAUACAUUAGCAUGGAAUAAUAGAAUAGGACGUGUGGUUCUAUUUUGUUGGUUUCUAGGACCGCCGUAAUGAUUAAUAGGGACAGUCGGGGGCAUCAGUAUUCAAUUGUCAGAGGUGAAAUUCUUGGAUCUAUUGAAGACUAACUACUGCGAAAGCAUUUGCCAAGGAUGUUUUCAUUGAUAAGGAACGAAAGUUAGGGGAUCGAAGACGAUCAGAUACCGUCGUAGUCUUAACUAUAAACUAUGCCGACUAGGGAUCGGACGAUGUUAUUCUUUGACGCGUUCGGCACCUUUCGAGAAAUCAAAGUGCUUGGGCUCCAGGGGGAGUAUGGUCGCAAGGCUGAAACUUAAAGAAAUUGACGGAAGGGCACCACCAGGGGUGGAACCUGCGGCUUAAUUUGACUCAACACGGGGAAACUCACCAGGUCCAGACACAGUGAGGGUUGACAGAUUGAGAGCUCUUUCUUGAUUCUGUGGGUGGUGGUGCAUGGCCGUUCUUAGUUGGUGGAGUGAUUUGUCUGCUUAAUUGCGAUAACGAACGAGACCUUAACCUGCUAAAUAGCCCGUACUGCUUUGGCAGUUCGCCGGCUUCUUAGAGGGACUAUCGG